rnacentral:rRNA from 1 species
UGGGGAAUAUUGCACAAUGGGCGCAAGCCUGAUGCAGCCAUGCCGCGUGUAUGAAGAAGGCCUUCGGGUUGUAAAGUACUUUCAGUCGGGAGGAAGGUGGUAAGGUUAAUAACCUUAUCAAUCGACGUUACCGACAGAAGAAGCACCGGCUACUCCGUGCCAGCAGCCGCGGUAAUACGGAGGGUGCAAGCGUUAAUCGGAAUUACUGGGCGUAAAGCGCACGCAGGCGGUUGAUUGAGUCAGAUGUGAAAUCCCCGGGCUUAACCCGGGAAUUGCAUCUGAUACUGGUCAGCUAGAGUCUUGUAGAGGGGGGUAGAAUUCCAUGUGUAGCGGUGAAAUGCGUAGAGAUGUGGAGGAAUACCGGUGGCGAAGGCGGCCCCCUGGACAAAGACUGACGCUCAGGUGCGAAAGCGUGGGGAGCAAACAGG